rnacentral:rRNA from 1 species
GAUUAUGGCUCAGGAUGAACGCUGGCGGCGUGCUUAACACAUGCAAGUCGAACGGGCCUUAUAUUGAAAGAAGCUCCGGCAGAUGGAGAUAUAAGGUUAGUGGCGGACGGGUGAGUAACGCGUGGAGAACCUGCCCUGUACAGGGGGGAUAACACCAGGAAACUGGUGCUAAAAACCGCAUAAGCGCACGGUACCGCAUGGUACAGUGUGAAAAACCGAGGUGGUACAGGAUGGCUCCGCGUUGGAUUAGCCAGUUGGCGGGGUAACGGCCCACCAAAGCGACGAUCCAUAGCCGGCCUGAGAGGGUGGACGGCCACAUUGGGACUGAGACACGGCCCAGACUCCUACGGGAGGCAGCAGGUGGGGAAUAUUGCACAAUGGGGGGAACCCUGAAUGCAGCGACGCCGCGUGAAGGAAGAAGUAUUUCGGUAUGUAAACUUCUAUCGGCAGGGAAGAAGGAAGACGGUACCUGCAGAAGAAGCCCCGGCUAAUUACGUGCCAGCAGCCGC